rnacentral:rRNA from 1 species
CGAACGCUGGCGGCGUGCCUAAUACAUGCAAGUCGAACGAACUCUGGUAUUGAUUGGUGCUUGCAUCAUGAUUUACAUUUGAGUGAGUGGCGAACUGGUGAGUAACACGUGGGAAACCUGCCCAGAAGCGGGGGAUAACACCUGGAAACAGAUGCUAAUACCGCAUAACAACUUGGACCGCAUGGUCCGAGUUUGAAAGAUGGCUUCGGCUAUCACUUUUGGAUGGUCCCGCGGCGUAUUAGCUAGAUGGUGGGGUAACGGCUCACCAUGGCAAUGAUACGUAGCCGACCUGAGAGGGUAAUCGGCCACAUUGGGACUGAGACACGGCCCAAACUCCUACGGGAGGCAGCAGUAGGGAAUCUUCCACAAUGGACGAAAGUCUGAUGGAGCAACGCCGCGUGAGUGAAGAAGGGUUUCGGCUCGUAAAACUCUGUUGUUAAAGAAGAACAUAUCUGAGAGUAACUGUUCAGGUAUUGACGGUAUUUAACCAGAAAGCCACGGCUAACUACGUGCCAGCAGCCGCGGUAAUACGUAGGUGGCAAGCGUUGUCCGGAUUUAUUGGGCGUAAAGCGAGCGCAGGCGGUUUUUUAAGUCUGAUGUGAAAGCCUUCGGCUCAACCGAAGAAGUGCAUCGGAAACUGGGAAACUUGAGUUGCAGAAGAGGACAGUGGAACUCCAUGUGUAGCGGUGAAAUGCGUAGAUAUAUGGAAGAACACCAGUGGCGAAGGCGGCUGUCUGGUCUGUAACUGACGCUGAGGCUCGAAAGUAUGGGUAGCAAACAGGAUUAGAUACCCUGGUAGUCCAUACCGUAAACGAUGAAUGCUAAGUGUUGGAGGGUUUCCGCCCUUCAGUGCUGCAGCUAACGCAUUAAGCAUUCCGCCUGGGGAGUACGGCCGCAAGGCUGAAACUCAAAGGAAUUGACGGGGGCCCGCACAAGCGGUGGAGCAUGUGGUUUAAUUCGAAGCUACGCGAAGAACCUUACCAGGUCUUGACAUACUAUGCAAAUCUAAGAGAUUAGACGUUCCCUUCGGGGACAUGGAUACAGGUGGUGCAUGGUUGUCGUCAGCUCGUGUCGUGAGAUGUUGGGUUAAGUCCCGCAACGAGCGCAACCCUUAUUAUCAGUUGCCAGCAUUAAGUUGGGCACUCUGGUGAGACUGCCGGUGACAAACCGGAGGAAGGUGGGGAUGACGUCAAAUCAUCAUGCCCCUUAUGACCUGGGCUACACACGUGCUACAAUGGAUGGUACAACGAGUUGCGAACUCGCGAGAGUAAGCUAAUCUCUUAAAGCCAUUCUCAGUUCGGAUUGUAGGCUGCAACUCGCCUACAUGAAGUCGGAAUCGCUAGUAAUCGCGGAUCAGCAUGCCGCGGUGAAUACGUUCCCGGGCCUUGUACACACCGCCCGUCACACC